AACGCCUCUUUCCGGUUCUGUCUGGCCCUUUCUCUCCAAAUACCACUUAGCACACGAUGCUCUCUCAUAGCCUUGACAAUCUAGAAUCUCUUCCACAACUUGCCCCCAUGUCCCCAGCCUUUAGCUUAGGAAAACCCAUUCUUCAAGGCCCAGCUCAAACAUCACUUCCUCUGAGAAGCCUUCCUGUGUUUUCCUUGCUUCUCCUUGUCCAUUAUUUUACAACAGGGGGCCUGAAAUUCUAAUAGCACCGAUCUCACUCUGUAUCUUAAGUAGCUUGUUUUUUGUCCAUCCUCUGUGCUCUCCUUUGGGCUUCUUGAAAACUAACACUGUCUUAUUUGUCUUUGCAUACCCAGGCAAUCAACUGUUCAAAGGAGGAGGAAGGGAAGCCAGGGAGGCUCCAGGAGUUUGGAAGAAGUAUUAGCAGGGAGAGAGUGCGGGAGACGCUGCCGAGAUGUCAGCUGUCGGCGCAGGAAGGAAGGACUCAGGGUCUGCAAACCGCAGAGGAGAGACUGCCCGGCAGUGCCCACUGCACAUCUGGCUGAGCAGCUGCAAUGUCCUGCCUGCCCCCGACGCAGCCUCUCCAUCCCUGCAGGCCCAGGAUCAAAAUCUUCCCAGUCCACAAAUCGGGGUUCCAUCACAGAGUUGAGAACCAAAAGCCCCCGAGGAGCCUUCUUCACUCAUCUUCUUUGUGUGUCGCCUGUGCAGACCUGUGGACCUGACCCAGCAGGUACCUGGCCGUGUUCUGUGGUUCUCCUCCUCUGCAUCUGCUGGCAUCCGCCCCCUCUACCGCAGAGCCCGUGUCAGCUCGUGCCUAGUGCGUAAUGACAACCUCCAAAUGGCCUGCCUGCCUCUCCUGCCCCCUAGCCCUUUCUGCACAAAGGACUUUCUAAACACAGAUUUCAACACCUGGGUCACUUACCUGCCUGAUAACCUUUUCAUGCUCCCACGGCCUCAGUCACCAAGACCCGUGCGACCAUCGGAUAGUCUUAGGUGACCUCUCCAUCGAGUGACGAAAUCAAGAGGCUGUGUUUGAAACUGAUCUUACCACUACUUCCUCAGGGGGAGACCUUCCUGCUCUCUGAAGAUGACAGAAAGAUCUCACGGUGGUGACCUCGUAGGCCACUGAUGGUGAGCAUCAGUGACAGUGGACGUGAAGGGCUUUACAAACUCUCAAGUGCAGUAGCAGCAUUCCAGUCCAUUCGGGUCUCUGGCACCUCUCUCAAGGUCUAUGCAGGAUGGUUUUCUUAUGGUUCUCAUGUUGUAGGGAUUCUCUCUCUUUUGAUUGGCAGGCAAAUCCUGCCCUCCAAAGCUCACCAACUUCCCACCCUGGAAACUUCCUUUGCUCGCUGCACCCCUUAGUACUGAGUCUGACCUGCCUCAGUUCUUCUGUGCCUAGGUAGGAGUUCUGUGGCUGAGGCUUCCUCAUUAUCUCAUUUAAUCCUCACAAUAGACUUAGUAAGGUUUCCGGAUACAACAUUAAUAUACAAAGACCAAAUGCACUUCUAUAUAUUAGCAACAAAUAAACAGAAAAAGAAAUUUAAAAAAAUACCAUUUACAAAAUGUGUAUGCCGGGGAAUGAAUAUGAACGAAGUUAUCCAUGACCUCUACACUGAAAACCGUAAAGUAUUAUUGUGAUAAAUUAAAGAAAAUCUACAUUAAUGCAGAGAUGCACCGGGUUCAUGGAUCAGAAGGCUUGAUAACCUACAGAUUUUAAUUAUUUCCAGAUUGGCCUAUAUAGUGUCAAUACAAUCACAGUCAAAAUCCCAGUGGCUUAUAUAUUAAAAUGCAAAGGACCAAGAAUAACUAAGAUCAUAUUGAUAAAGAAUCAAGCUGGAGCGGGAGUGGUAACAGGUAUCGAGACUUACCAUGAAGUAACGGUAAUUGAGAUGCUAUGCUAUGGACACAAGGGUAGAUAAAUGGACCAAUGGACUAGAAUAGAAUCCAGAAAUAGACCCACAUAUAUGUGGUCACUUGAUUUAUGACAAAAGGGGACACUGUAGAGCAGAAAAAAAUUGCUGCUGGGUGAGCUAGUGUCCGUUUAGGAAAAAAACGAAGCUUCACUCCUAGUUCACAGCACAUGCAAGUAUUUCCAGAUGGAUUGUAGAUAUAAGUGCAGAAGGUAAAACACCGAACUUCUAGAAGAAAACAGGAGAAUAUCUUCCUUGACCUUUGGGCAGGCAAAAAUGUCUUAGCCAGGACAUAAGAAAACACUAACACUAGAGGGAAAAUAUUAAUAAAUUAAGAAUUUAUUUUCAUCAAAGGUCUCUAUUGGGAGUGAAAAGGCAAUCAUAGAGCGGAAGAAGAUAUCUCCAAUACAUAGACCUGAAAAAAACCAACUCUUAUCAGAAUAUGGAAAAGAACUCUUAUAAAUCUCUAAUUAAAAAGAAAAAACAAAGCAAAUUUAAAAUGAGCCAAAGAUUUGAACAGGCACAUCAUAAAACAGGAUAUUCAAAUGGCCAAAAAUGUAUAUAGAAAGGUGCUCACCAUGAUUAGUCAUCAGGAAAAUAUAAAUUGAAAUCACAAUUAAAUGCCCCUAGAUGACCACUAGAAUGGCUAAAGGAAAGUCUUACAAUACCAAGUGUCGACAAAGAUGUGAAGCAAGGGAAACUCUCAAACACUGCUGGGGGGGUGCAGACUCGCUUGGCCACACUAGGAAAAUCUUGGCAGUGUCGAGGUUGAACAGAGGCAUACCUUCUGGCCCAGCAACUCCACCCCGGGAUGUAUGUUUGGUAGAAGACGGCCACAUGAGGGCUUUGAACCCUCAAAGGUGGGUCUUUAAUCCUGUGUCUCUGCUGUUAGCGCAGGGCUGGAUGCUGAGUGCUGAGGAUGGAAGGCCUGGUGGAAUCUAAACUCUCACCUGCCUGCCCUUCCUCUACUUGCCUUUCCCUCCUGGCUCCAGGGACGGUUCCUGAGCUUGUCCUGGCUCUAGGGACCCUGCUUCCCUGCCGGGUGGAGCCUGUGCCACCUUAAGGGCAGGGGCUAGCUCCUUCCUCGCCGGCAGCCCCGCCCACCUGCAGCUGUGCCGCCACCACUCAGGAUUGGGGGUGCCCCACUCACAGUGCUCUUGGCUGAGGUGUGUGUGUGUGUAGGGGUCUCCACUAUGCUGUCUGUUCAGCCCCCAGCUCCUGCUCCUCCCUGGGGCUCUGUCCUCACUGCUCCCUCGCCAUCUCAGCCCAGCAAGCUCCUUCUCCUUCCCAAAGAGGAGGGAAGCUUUCCCAGUGGCGCUGGCAGCUCCCACAGCAGCAGGGAUGGCCUUCCCGCUGUCUCCCUCCCUCCCCCACACAGCAGGGGGGGCUCUUAAAUCACCGCCGCCGCCUCCACCUCCUCCUCUUCACUGAAGACUCAGGACCUGGAUGUUGUCAGGAGCCUGUGCGAAGGCCAACUGCCAGCUUCCCUCGGCUCAGGAAGGGGGUCGGCACUGCCUGGAAGGCGACAUCCUGCCUCCCUGCCAUCACCUCGGGCCAGAGGCAGUGCCCCAGGUGAAGCAGCAGUGCCAGGUCCCUGGGAUGUCAAGCAGGGGGACAGAGCCUCUUGGGCUCCCAUUCGCUGAGUGUUUUCCGUGCACUAAGUGCUGGACCACGCAUGACACACACGUGAUCUGGUGCAAGCCUCGCCCCCACCCCGAGAGGGGGCAUUGUCAUCACCCCCAGCUUUACACCUGGCCAGCAGCAGCGCUUGGCUUUGAAGCCAGGCUGUGGUCAACACUGCUCUGGCCACACACACACGGUGCCACUGGGCAGCAGCUCUCCCCACGACCGUGCCCUCUGUCCCCUUGCUUCUCUGCUCCUGCAGACCUCGCCCC